GUGCUUGCUUCGGCAGCACAUAUACUAAAAUUGGAACGAUACAGAGAUUAGCCUGGCCCUGUGAAAGGAUGACACGCAAAUUCAUAAAGCAUUCCAUAAAAAA